rnacentral:rRNA from 1 species
AUUGAACGCUGGCGGCAGGCCUAACACAUGCAAGUCGAGCGGAUGAAGGGAGCUUGCUCCUGGAUUCAGCGGCGGACGGGUGAGUGAUGCCUAGGAAUCUGCCUGGUAGUGGGGGAUAACGUCCGGAAACGGGCGCUAAUACCGCAUACGUCCUGAGGGAGAAAGUGGGGGAUCUUCGGACCUCACGCUAUCAGAUGAGCCUAGGUCGGAUUAGCUAGUUGGUGGGGUAAAGGCCUACCAAGGCGACGAUCCGUAACUGGUCUGAGAGGAUGAUCAGUCACACUGGGACUGAGACACGGUCCAGACUCCUACGGGAGGCAGAAGUGGGGAAUAUUGGACAAUGGGCGAAAGCCUGAUCCAGCCAUGCCGCGUGUGUGAAGAAGGUCUUCGGAUUGUAAAGCACUUUAAGUUGGGAGGAAGGGCAGUAAGUUAAUACCUUGCUGUUUUGACGUUACCAACAGAAUAAGCACCGGCUAACUUCGUG